rnacentral:rRNA from 1 species
GACGAACGCUGGCGGCGCGCUUAACACAUGCAAGUCGAACGGAAAGGCCUGCUUUCCCUUGUGUGUUGCGGGUACUCGAGUGGCGAACGGAUGAGUAACACGUGAGUGAUCUGCCCCCAACUUGGGUAUAAGCCUGGGAUACUGGGUCUAAUUACCGCUAGGUCUGCAGGGUGGUGCCGGUGGUGGAAGACGCUUUUCUAGUGGUUGGGGAUGAGCUGGUGGCCUAUCAGGUUGUUGGUGGGGUAAUGUCCUACCAAGGCGGGGACGGGUAGGCGGGCUGGGGGGGUCGACAGGCGCAUUGGGACUGAGAUACGGCCCAGACGCCAACGGGAGGCAGCAGUGGGGAAUCAUGCGCGGUGAGCGGAAGCCAGAGGCAGCGAGGCCGCGUGGGGGACGACGGCCUUCGGAUUGUAAGCUGCGUGCGACCGAGAGGAAGCCACCGGGUUGGAAGGGGGGUGACGGUAGUGGUAGAAGAAGCACCGGCUAACUACGUG